CUAGACUCAGACUGUUCUAGUGCAAACUCAAAUUCCCCUUCCUUCGUUUCCGCCUCUCGUGAUCAGUAUGGGUCAAAUCUUAAGGAUGAUGAAGAGUAAUUAUCUGAAAACGAGUGAUGGAACCGAGCUCUACACCACAUAAGAACCAAUCAACGCAUGAGAUGGAUUCCAUGGGAGGUAAGAGUGAUGGAGUGUAGGGCGCAUUGUCCGGAUGAAGUGGAAACGCAGGCUACUCUAGAAUCACCACAUUGGACCAAUAUGCUUAGCCACGACAAAAUGCAGAUUGAAGGAACGUGCAGCAGAACUCACAAAGCAAUCAUGGGAGAACAAACCACGCUGGACUGGAAGGUUUCUACUAGAACAAAAUUGAUGAAGGAAAACAUUAAUAUUAUCCAGUUAUUCAACAAGACAAUUAUUUUUUUGUUAUGUAGUGAAAGGUCCAAUCAGGUGGCUUAUGCAUUGUAAUGUAACACGGAUAAAUGUGAAAGCAAACUAGUUGUUGGGUUGAGGAUAGAGUUUAAGUUUCGUCAGAAACUUAAUAAAAUCUGAUUCAAGGAUUGAUAAUUGA